UACAGGGGGGGCAAGCGUUGUUCGGAAUUACUGGGCGUAAAGGGCUCGUAGGCGGCCAACUAAGUCACACGUGAAAUCCCCAGGCUUAACCUGGGAACUGCGUGUGAUACUGGAUGGCUUGAAUUCGGGAGAGGGAUGCAGAAUUCCAGGUGUAGCGGUGAAAUGCGUAGAUAUCUGGAGGAACACCGGUGGCGAAGGCGGCAUCCUGGACCGGUAUUGACGCUGAGGAGCGAAAGCCAGGGGAGCAAACGGG
rnacentral:rRNA from 1 species